AGACGGGCUGUGUAAUGUUAUUGAUGGUAGGUAUCCAGAGUAGAGACAGGCUGUGUAAUGUUAUUGAUGGUAGGUAUCCAGAGUAGAGACAGGCUGUGUAAUGUUAUUGAUGGUAGGUAUCCAGAGACAGGCUGUGUAAUGUUAUUGAUGGUAGGUUUCCAGAGUAGAGACAGGCUGUGUAAUGUUAUUGAUGGUAGGUAUCCAGAGUAGAGACAGGCUGUGUAAUGUUAUUGAUGGUAGGUAUCCAGAGUAGAGACAGGCUGUGUAAUGUUAUUGAUGGUAGGUAUCCAGAGACGGGCUGUGUAAUGUUAUUGAUGGGAGGUAUCCAGAGACGGGCUGUGUAAUGUUAUUGAUGGUAGGUAUCCAGAGUAGAGACGGGCUUUGUAAUGUUAUUGAUGGUAGGUAUCCAGAGACAGGCUGUGUAAUGUUAUUGAUGGUAGGUUUCCAGAGUAGAGACAGGCUGUGUAAUGUUAUUGAUGGUAGGUAUCCAGAGUAGAGACAGGCUGUGUAAUGUUAUUGAUGGUAGGUAUCCAGAGUAGAGACAGGCUGUGUAAUGUUAUUGAUGGUAGGUAUCCAGAGACGGGCUGUGUAAUGUUAUUGAUGGUAGGUAUCCAGAGUAGAGACAGGCUGUGUAAUGUUAUUGAUGGUAGGUAUCCAGAGACAGGCUGUGUAAUGUUAUUGAUGGUAGGUAUCCAGAGUAGAGACGGGCUGUGUAAUGUUAUUGAUGGUAGGUAUCCAGAGUAGAGACAGGCUGUGUAAUGUUAUUGAUGGUAGGUAUCCAGAGAUGGGUUGUGGGAACUUUGCUCUGUAUCACCAUUCCUUUACUAUUGUUUAACUGAGAAGGAACUAACCUGGGAUCCAGUGCUGGACUAACACACAUAACAAACUCAGUGAGAUCUGUCUUUAGACCACAGCCAACAUAACAAACACAACAAAACAACAGCAUGUUGAUCUUAUACCGUUUAGCGUUGGUGUAAGUGUGUAGAAUACUGUGUCCUAUUAACUUGACUCCUACAACAAAUGGUGUAGAAAUGUCUGGUUUAAGACGUGAUCCUCUUCGCUGUCCUCAUGCC